rnacentral:tRNA from 1 species
CCCUGGUUAGCUCUUUUCAUAGAGCGCUCCACUAAAAAAUGGAGAGGUCGCGGGUUCGAUACCCGGACCAGGCG